GAAGAAAAAGAGAAUAAAAUAUUGGUCAAAGAAACUGGUUACUUUUUUAUAUAUGGUCAGGUAGGUUGAAACCCUAGUCAUGGUUUUACUGUUCAAAGCCUCCCAUUUUGUGUUCAUUUCUGACACAGUUUUUUGGUUUGUUUCUCAGGUUUUAUAUACUGAUAAGACCUACGCCAUGGGACAUCUAAUUCAGAGGAAGAAGGUCCAUGUCUUUGGGGAUGAAUUGAGUCUGGUGACUUUGUUUCGAUGUAUUCAAAAUAUGCCUGAAACACUACCCAAUAAUUCCUGCUAUUCAGCUGGCAUUGCAAAACUGGAAGAAGGAGAUGAACUCCAACUUGCAAUACCAAGAGAAAAUGCACAAAUAUCACUGGAUGGAGAUGUCACAUUUUUUGGUGCAUUGAAACUGCUGUGACCUACUUACACCAUGUCUGUAGCUAUUUUCCUCCCUUUCUCUGUACCACUAAGAAGAAAGAAUCUAACUGAAAAUACCAAAAAAAAAA
rnacentral:sRNA from 1 species